rnacentral:rRNA from 1 species
CCCUUAGACACUCUAGGCGGCACGCGCGCUACAAUGGGCGGGAGAACGUGUUACUACCACUGAAAAGUGGGGUGAAUCACGAAUCCUUGCCCGUGAAUGGGAUAGUUUGUUGCAAUUUUCGGACUUGAACUAGGAAUCCCUUGUAAGCAUGCUCAAGAAUAGCGUGUUGAAUACGUCCCUGCCGUUUGUACACACCGCCCGUCGUUUCUUCCGACUGAUACUCAUUGUGAGUUGCAAGGAUCCUUUAUUGGAAAAUUGCCGCGAAUGCUUUGUAUUGGAGGAAGAAAAAGUCGUAACA